GACGAACGCUGGCGGCGUGCCUAAUACAUGCAAGUCGAACGCAGGGGGGACGGGUGAGUAACACGUGGGUAACCUCCCAUCAGAGGGGAUAACACUUGGAAACAGGUGCUAAACCGAUACUGAUGGAUGAACCCGGGGUGCAUUAGCUAGUUGGUGAGGUAACUGCUCACCAAGGCCACGAUGCAUAGCCGACCUGAGCGGUGGAGCGGCCACACUGGGACUGAGACACGGCCCAGACUCCUACGGGAGGCAGCAGUAGGGAAUCUUCGGCAAUGGACGAAAGUCUGACGGAUCAACGCCGCGUGUGUGAAGAAGGUUUUCGGGUCGUAAAACUCUGUUGUUAGAGAGGCGGUAUCUGACCAGAAAGCCACGGCUAACUACGUGCCAGCAGCCGCGGUAAUUC
rnacentral:rRNA from 1 species